rnacentral:tRNA from 2 species
GGGUGCGUAGCUCAGUUGGUAGAGCACUGCCUUUGCAAGGCAGGGGUCGCAGGUUCGAGACCUGUCGCAUCCA